rnacentral:rRNA from 1 species
AUUGAACGCUGGCGGCAGGCCUAACACAUGCAAGUCGAACGGUAGCACAGAGAGCUUGCUCUCGGGUGACGAGUGGCGGACGGGUGAGUAAUGUCUGGGAAACUGCCCGAUGGAGGGGGAUAACUACUGGAAACGGUAGCUAAUACCGCAUAACGUCGCAAGACCAAAGUGGGGGACCUUCGGGCCUCACACCAUCGGAUGUGCCCAGAUGGGAUUAGCUAGUAGGUGGGGUAAUGGCUCACCUAGGCGACGAUCCCUAGCUGGUCUGAGAGGAUGACCAGCCACACUGGAACUGAGACACGGUCCAGACUCCUACGGGAGGCAGCAGUGGGGAAUAUUGCACAAUGGGCGCAAGCCUGAUGCAGCCAUGCCGCGUGUAUGUAGAAGGCCUUUGGGUUGUAAAGUACUUUCAGCGGGGAGGAAGGCGGUGAAGUUAAUAGCUUCACCGAUUGACGUUACCCGCAGAAGAAGCACCGGCUAACUCCGUGCCAGCCGCCGCGGUAA